UUGCCAACCAGGAACAUAUUCAAAUACAGGCGUAGUUCCCUGCUCACCAUGCCCACUUGGGCAUUAUCAACAUGGUUACGGUGCAACAGUGUGCCUUUCAUGUCCAUUACAAACAUUCACGUUGUCCACUGGUUCUAAUGAUUGUCAAAGAAUGGACGCUUCUUUCACUACAGAAAAUGGCUUGAUGAAUUUAAAAUCAUUGUCAUAUAAUAUUGAAGAUUAUACACUAAGCGUCUUCCUUAAACUAGAUUCUAAUUCGCAGUGCAUCGCAGUGACCCUUUCCAAUUUCCAGAUAAAUAUUGGGACGGAUAUCGAGAUGUCAAUUGCAAGUAACGAAUAUAGCUUCACAGUUCCCAAUGAUACAGUAUCCACAGUAUGGACUCCUGCUUCAAUUGUUUGGAAAAAGUCGUUACAGGAGGCAAGCUUCUUUUGGAAUGGAAAUAAAAUUACUUCACAUAUAUUUGAUACUGCGACAGCUGAGGAUAUUCAAGUUAAUGUCGACAGUUCCAUUCAAAUCGUAGCAUUGUCAAUAGGUAAAGUGUUGUUGUCUCAUGAUAA